AAGUGUAAGCUCUUUUACAAUUUGUCUAGCAGGUUUUCCGGUCCACACCGGAAAAUACCCCC
rnacentral:snRNA from 1 species